GGGGCAGCGCGGCAUGGCGGCGCGAGGCCGCCACUGCGGGCUGUGCUCUGCUGGCUUGGCACCGGGAGGACAGCCCCGAUGAGUGGGCACGGACGCAGCCACGGUUGGCAAGAAGGACAAGCGGGUGCUGUCCUAGCAGUGUCUUCCCACAAGGAUCAAGCUUCCUGCGUAUGGCCGUAGCACCCCUGAUGCUCUCGGCAGGCACGGCAGCCUGUGGCCCGCAUCAGCUCUGUGCCCCAGCUGCUGCCUCUCUGCUCCCCGCUGCCAGCUGCCUGCUUCGUGGCAGGAGGAGAUGCUCUCUUGCUGUCACCGAGUAUGAGCAGUAGGGCAAGGACGCUGCCGUAGUCCACAGGCCUGCAGUGACUGACAUCCUUCCAAGUCCCCGGGUGUCCUCUGGAAGUGGUGUCCUGCAAUACUUACCUACCACGACUUUGCCCCCCAGGCUGUCUGAGAUGCUCUAGCAAAUAGUAGAGUGUCGGGGAGCAGAGUGUGAGUGGCUGCGCAAUGGAGUUGGCACUCAGGCGAGCAACACGUGACUGUGCCACAAACUUCCCGUGUGGCCAUUGCAAGCAGCAGCACGGCCGUAUGCAUACGCGAGGUACGUGAAACUCUUCCCCUCACCUGCAAGGGACCAAUGCUACCAGUUGAGGCAUCUCCUGAGCAGGUGGUAAGAUGAAGCGAGGCAGCUGCGAGGUUUCGUGUCCUCUCUAUGGAUUGGGUCGUAGACCGUGUCUUCAGAGCACCUCUGACGUCGGGUUUGGGACUAAGACUUGGGAGACGGUGAAGAAACCCAAGGCAAGUGCUGCUCAGCUGAGGAAGAAAGCCAAGAAGGAAAGCAAAAAGAGACAGCAAGGGCUUGGCUGAGAAGGCCCAGAGGACACCAGAAUCACCUGGAAUGCUUCCUCAGAGGUGCACCACAAGGCGGUGGACUGAAUGUGUGGUUUUUGGCACGGCCGUGCUUUCCCUGUGGACAGAAGAGGGAAGAAAAGCUGGGGAAGGGCUUUGCUGCGUUAAGCAAAGAGACUCCACUAUGCAGGUUCAUGUAUGGCAAGAGCUGGAGACGCUGUGCUCCUUCAGGGUGUGUCUCUUUGGGGCCAGGGCGUUAGUGUUUGUGAAUUGGCUAGACGGGACUGGAGAGAGAGGAGGUGACGUAGCCACAGGGUCAGGCUUCUCCUUGUGUCUGACUGGAGGCUGAAUGACUCAUUGCUAAGUGGAAAUCCUGGACACUGGGGUUUCAUUGUGGGGUGGGUAGUGGGGUAAUAAAUACAACCCAAAUCCUUUUGUAUCAAAUAAAAGCGAAAUGAACUUU
ensembl:lncRNA